GAUUCUGAACGCUGCUGACUCGUCAGAGUCAAGCUCGUUCGUAAUACAUGAGCGUCUCUAUUCAAAUUCGGAUUGACUCAGCGUAAUAGACUAUUCGUUGAGGACACCCCUGGGUGGCCGAAAGACAAUAUGAGAAGCUACUAGCCAGUCAACAUUUUGAUUUAGACCUCAAAUCAGGCAGGAUUACCCGCUGAACUUAA
rnacentral:misc_RNA from 1 species